AGAAACAGAGAAAGUGGGUGAAUAAAAAUGGCGUUCACCUUAUCGGAGAUAGCAGUAGCCAUAUUAGCGGUUGCAACUACAACGGUAGCAUGGAGAGUUCUCAACUGGGUCUGGUUCAGGCCAAAAAAUUUCGAAAAACACCUCAAAAAACAAGGCUUUCAUGGCAACUCGUAUCGCUUCCUGUAUGGAGAUACCAAGGAACACAUGUCUAUGUUAAUGGCAACAAGAUCAGAGCCCAUUCCCAUCUCCCAUGAUGUUCCUUCUCGCACCACUCCCUUUCUCUGCAAGCUCGUCCGCGAAUAUGGUACGUACAUUACUUUAAUUCAUCAGCCAGACCGUAGUGUUUUCCACUCAAAUAUUAACGAAAUCAACUUGUUUAUAUUUUUAGUCUCUGACGUUUCUUCUUUGAUGUAGUCUUCACUCUCGUACAUUACUCUAAAAAAUUGAUUUCAGACUUUUAAGUUGCUGUACAUCAAAGGUUAUAGUCCGGAUUGCCAGCCACAAGGCUAAAAAUAAGAAGAUAUAGAAAAGCUUAGUUCCUUUAGAGCAUCUCCAACCACGAAAACCCCUUAACUAAAUCUUAGUUGUCAUAUCAAUAAUAAAAAUUCUAACUAAUGGCUUCAAAAAUUCAUGCUCCAACCAUCCCCACCUGUUAUCUAUAAUUAUAGUCCACCUCCUGUGGACGGCUAUAUUUAAUAAAAUCUGUAGAAAAAUUAUACAUCACUUAUUAUCAUAUUAAAGUGAUAUAGUCUAUUUAUAACAAUCCAAAUAUUAAGAACAUACUAGUUUUAAAUUAUAGCCAACCAGUAUAGUCAAUACCACCGAAGCGAAUUGUCUUAGAGGUUCAGCAAAUUUUACAUAAUGUCUUACACGUUCAAUUUAGACGACGAUUAUAGUCAACAUCGUUGGAGAUGCUCUUAGGACAUGUUUGUUUGGAGUGAUUAUAAUCGCCGAAUUAUUAUCUUAUUUAUCUUAAUUGCAAAAGAUUCCUUGAAUUCAUAUCUCAAUUACUGUUUUAGUCCAUUUGAAUAAGAUUAUAAUAUCAUGUGAGAUUCAAUCAUUAUAAAUAUUUUUGGAUGAGCCAGAGUGUUCAUGGUUAUAAUAUAGAUACGGUCAGCCGGAUUUUUUUAUUUUUAUUUUUUGUCAGGGUCAGCCGGAUGUUUUGUAUUCAAUAUUAAUACCUUUUAUCUCUUUGUUUGAAUAUAUAUUGUGUUUUGAGGUUAUAGUACUGUGUUUGCAGGUAAAAGAACCUUUUUCUGGCUUGGACCAGUACCAAGGAUAUCUAUUAUGAAUCCGGAAAUGGUAAAAGAGGUUCUAAAUCAUAAUUUUAACUAUCCAAAAACUGAGCCACACCCAAAUUUUAAGAUGUUUGUACAAGGCCUCCCAUCAACUGAAGGAGGUAAGUGGACUACACACAGAAGACUUCUCAAUCCUGCUUUCCAUGCUGAAAAGUUGAAGGUAAUUAUUUCUUUAAAUGCUAAUAUUUGCAUGCUCUACUUUAAUUUACCUGAUAAAUAUUGUUGUAUUUGCAGGGUAUGCUACCAGCAUUUGAUUUGUGCUGUCAUGAGAAGACUAUAAAAUGGAUGGAAAUGAUAGGGGAGGAGAGAAAUUCAUGUGAGAUAGAUGUUUGGCCUUCCCUUCAAACAUUAACGGGUGACGUCAUUUCGCGUACAGCAUUUGGUAGUAGCUAUCAAGAGGGACAAAAAGUAUUUGAAUUACAAAUUGAACAAGCUGACCACACGUUUAAGGCCAUGCAGUCAGUUUACCUGCCUGGAUCAAGGUAAAGAGUCUUAAUAUAUACUUAUCAUUAGGUGAUAUGGUUAAUUUUGUAUUGUCUGAAAUCUAUAGAACAGUGUACACAAAAGAAAAGGAAGAAGUCAUUAAUUUCUGUGUUCAGGUAUUUACCAACUAAGAGGAACAAGAGGAUGAAGGAAAUAGACAAAGAAGUGCGAUUUUUACUAGGAGGUAUUAUUCAUAAAAAGAUGAAAGCCAUGAAAGCAGGAGAGGAUGGCACAAAUGACUUGUUGGGAAUAUUGUUGGAAGCAAACUCUAAAGAACUCGGACAGGGUAACAGCAAUGUUGGAAUGAGUAUUGAUGACGUAAUUGAAGAAUGCAAGGUGUUCUAUGUUGCUGGCCAAGAGACCAACUCAAUUUUGCUUGUGUGGACAUUGGUCUUAUUAAGUAUGUAUCCAGAUUGGAAAGAUCGGGCUAGAAAAGAGGUUUUGCAAGUACUUGGUGAUGACAAGGCUGAUAUGAAUCAUCUUAAUCAUUUGAAAAUAGUAAGUACUUUAUUGUUCAUAUAACUUAAGGCAGAAACGUAGUGUUAGUAUCUGAUUAAAAAGAUUGCAUAACAAUUAUAUAUUACAUAUAUUUCUCUUUUUUGUUUACAACAGGUGACUAUGAUUCUGUAUGAGGUCCUGAGAUUAUAUCCACCAGUUUCUGCGCUAGUUCGACAGAUAAACAAGGAAAUUACUCUGGGAGAUAUCACCUUACUACCAGGAAUGCAAAUUGCGUUGCCGAUCGAUAAGUCAAAUUCAUCAUGAUCAUGAUAUUUGGGGGGCUGAUGCAGAAGAGUUUAAACCUGAAAGAUUCUCAGAAGGCGUUUCAAAAGCCACAAACAAUCAUGUAGCUGCAUUUUUUCCAUUUGGUGGGGGGCAAGGAUCUGCAUUGGACAAAACUUUGCUUUACUAGAAGCAAAACUAGCCAUGGCGACGAUCUUAAGAAAGUUCUCCUUCGAGCUUUCACCUUCCUAUAAGCAUGCCCCUGUCAAUAAACUUAUACUCUCCGUCCCGAAUAUGGUGCUAGCUUGAUUUUACACAAGCUAUAAUUGGUGCUUACAAAUAUCCAGAUUGCCAUGCAUGAUGCAGAGUAUGUGAGAUAUAUGUUUGAUAAAAGUUGCCACCUUUAAUAUAUAUAUUAUAAAUAUGAUGUUGAAGACUUGUAUUAUCCUGCUAAGUUUGAGUUCAUUUUAUGGAUUGAUGUCUUUGAUUCUUAUGAUCACUCUGCACAGACAGCAAUCCAGGAGGGGCUAACUUUGCUUCUACAAAAAUAAGAUACUGUUUUUCCAGUUGAAUAAACUUUUUAUACUCCAUGCGUCCCAAUUUAUCUUAUCUCUCUUGUUUGACUUUUGGUGUUUAGAUUUAGCGAAUUUUGACUAAAAUUUACAUAUAUAAAAUAAUUAGACUUUAAAAUGUAUUCUUUGGAUUUUCAAUAUCAGUAAGAAUGAGUACAUGCCUCACCAUUAAGUCAUCUUUAACCGAAUUAUUUUCCUUGAUUACUUUUGGACAAACAUGAUAUAUAUGCUUUACGUGAUUAUAAUAGAUUAUUAGUUGUAUUUGUGCAUGUUUAUAUAUCCUGAGACCCUUCAAUAAUUUUAAUCCAUUUUUUUAUAUUAAAUUAUUUACUUAUCAUUUUCAAUCCACUUCUUUAUUUUAAGUAAUACUGUAAGUCAUUUUUUUAAAACUCGGCCUCUAAUUCUCGACAUAUGAUUUGGAUUUGAAGUCUGUGAAUUGAUUAUUUGAAUACUUUGUCUGUGUAAAAGACUUGAUGCACGACCACGAGUGAUAUCACUACUUGGGUUUUCUUUAAUAAAAAGAUUUGUGUCCAUGAGCACGUGAUAGAUUACUAAAAUUGAUAAGUCAAAGUGUCUGGUUAAAGUCAAGUGUUGAUGAGUGGUGACUCUUAUGAGGUGGAAAUGAUGGGCCUGGGCGAAGCGAAUGAUACCAGCAUUUGAUAUACAUAGGUUGCAAUGAGAUGACAAUAAAAUGGAUGGAAAUGACGGGGUUGAGAGUAAUUCAUGUGAGAUAGAUGUUUGGCCUUGUCUUCAAACAUUAACGUCCGACAUCAUUUCAGUUAUAAACUUUUUAGCAAAUAAUUUUUUCUUUUUAUAAGUUCCAAGAAUAGGUUUUUUAUUCAAGAAAUACUCAAAAUAUCUUCAAAUUAAUAAAACAUGAUAUAUAUAAUAUUUAAAUUAUGAGCCUUUUAGCAGAUAAAUUUUUCUUCGUAGAAGUUAAAAGAGUACUUUUUCAUUCUAGAAAAACUUAAAAUAUCUUCAGGUCAAUAAAACAUGAAAUAUAUGUUAAAAGUUGUGUCAUUUUCAUUUUCAUAUUUUACAUGUAUACUAGAAUGAAUAGUUAUUGUUUAUUUAAUUCAUGUGAAGUUCACUUUCUCUGCGUGAUUGUGUUUUAGUUGUUUAGAAUUAAAAGUUUAAAAGAGUGAAUUAUUGAUUCAUAUAUUUUCUCUCUCACAAUUUUUGACUGUUGGAUUUAUUGGAUAAAUUGAUGGAACUUUGAUCAUAAUUUAUAUAUUACUAGCUUUUAAGAUGGGUAUAUAGUUCGUAACUUAUUAUUUAUAAUUUAAAUUUUAACAUUAUUUUAUUAGUAUUUUAGUAUUAAUAGAUUGAAUUUUAAUUAAAUUAUAUCAUUCAACUGACUAUACUUUCUCCUAAUUACUUGAAAAUAGACAAACCCUAAUAUAUAUAUAUAUAUAUAUAUAUAUAUGUGUGUGUGUGUGUGUGUGUGUGUGUGUGUGUGUAUAUAUCAAGAUUUUAGUACAUUUAAUCCGAAUUUAGUACACGUAGAUUAAAAAAUAAAAAAAUCAAAAAAUUCAAAUCUUUUCUAAACAUAGACGAUCGUGUAAUACCUUUGAAAGAUUCAAUAAAUCAAUCGAAUUUCAACGUAAUUUUGUAAUCUUGGUUUUUUGACAACAAUAACUUUUAAGAUUAGAGUUAGAAUGAGUUAUGUAAUAGUUCGUGUUUAUAUCGAGAUAGAACACGUUAAAAUUAAAAAGAGUUAUACGAAAGUUCUUGUUAAAAGAAGAUAUUGAAAAUUGUAUAUUUAUAAUUUUAUUUAUAACAUCAUUAUACAUAUUUUAAUGAGAUAUUAUAUGAUAAUGGAUUGUUAUGAGUGUUUUUAGUAUUUGAAAUUGUUUAACAAUAUAAUACCAAUAGACUCCACAUUUGUAGACUUGUAGUAUCAAAAAGAGAGUAACAAACAAAAAAAUAUAACUAAAACCUUGGACUACAAAUAUAACUAAAACCUUGGACUAAAACCUUGUUGUCUUAUUAUAGUAUAGUAAGUAUAGAUUCUUUCCGUUUCAUGUUUGUGUGAUUGUGAUUUUAGUUGUUUAGAAUUGAAAGUUUAAGAAAAUUUAUCGCCAUUUGAAUACCAUUAGAUUUUAAUAAAUUUUAUAUAAUCACAAUUAUAUAUCGGAUUUUAAUAUAUAUUUAAAAUUUUAGUCGAAUAACAUAGAUUUUAUAGUAUAAUAUAAAAUCCUAAUUGAAUAUUCCAAGAUUCUGAUAAUUUUUUAAAAUCUUACUUGAAUCUCUCUUGAUAUCAUAAAUAUUUCUUUUUAAAUUUCCAAUUAAAUAUAGGCUCUGUGAUAUUUAUUGGAAUCGGAUUCAAAUAAAAUCUGAUCAAAAUUUAGAAAGAUUUGAAAAAGUUCUUAACAAAUUUACAGUUACGAACUAUCUCGAAAGUUUUGAAAUUUAAAUAUUGCUCACUGUAUUUACGUUCAAUGUUUGCACAAAUUUUGAGAUUUUUAUAAAAUAUAGUUUCAUAAUAUGAAAAUUUUCUUCUUCUGAAUAUACAUUUAUACGUUAAAUUUUUUUCAGGAAAAAAAUUAAAAAAUAUUAUAAAAUUAUAUUGUAAAUGAAUCUUAAAAAACGUUUCAAAAAGUAACGUAGAUCCGAGAGAUGAGAGGCGGAAGUGACUGAAAAGCGUGUAAGAAUUAUUGAGAUUUGAGAGGGACCCACCAAUUGUUUUUCUCGCAACGCGUGUUAGUUGCCGUGCAACCAAUAAAAAGCAUUUCACGCAAUAUAUAUGACAAAGUGAGAAACAGAGAAAGUGAGUGAAUAAUAAUGGCGUUCACCUUAUCAGAGAUAGCAGUAGCAAUAUUAGUGGUGGCAACUACGACUGUAGCAUGGAGAGUUCUUAACUGGGUCUGGUUCAGGCCAAAAAAAUUCGAAAAACACCUGAAAAAACAAGGCUUUCAUGGCAAUUCGUAUCGCUUUCUGUAUGGAGAUACCAAGGAACACAUGUCUAUGUUAAUGGCAACAAGAUCAGAACCCAUUCCCAUCUCUCAUGAUGUUCCUUCUCGCACCGCUCCCUUUCUAUGCAAGCUCGUCCGCGAAUAUGGUACGUAGAUUACUUUAAUUCAUCAGCCAGACUGGAGUGUUUUCCACUCAAAUCUUAACGAAAGUAACUUGUUAGUAUUUUUAGUCUGGCGUUUCUUGUUUGAUGUAGCUCGUGGAUACAGUUAUGUUCUUAGUAACAGCGGUUGAGAAGGUUUUUUACUCGUGAUUUAAUAAAAACUCAGCAAUUCAAGCAAAAAUACUUUGGAUUCCUAUCUAAAAAAUUGAUUUCAGACUUUUAAGUUGCUGUACAUCAAAGGUUAUGCCCUGUUUGGGAAUUAGCGGUUAGCGGAUUGAAUUAGAUGUUUUGACUAACUGAUUGAAGUAAAUGUUUUGACUAGCGGAUUGAAUUAGCUGUUUCGGAAAAUUGUUUGGUAAAUAGCUGAUUGAUUAGCUUUUUCUGACACAAACCAAAACCUCUAACCCAAAAGGCUCAUCAAAGUAGCUUUUUCAAAAUUAGCUUUUUGGAUCCAAACCUCUAUUUUAAUCCGCUAAUACCAAACACUAAUAUUAGUGGAUUCUAGUGGUCUAACCUCUAAUUUUGCCCCAAACCUCUAACUUUUAAAGAGGGCCUAUGUGUCCCGAUUGCCAGCCACAAGACUAAAAAUAAGAAGAUAUAGAAAAGCUUAAUUCCUUUAGGACAUGUUUGUUUCGAGUGAUUAUAAUCGCCGAAUUAUUACCUUAUUUAUCUCAAUUGCAAAAGAUUAUAAUUCCUUGAAUUCAUAUCCCAGUCCCUGUUUUAGUCCAUUUGAAUUAGACUAUAAUAUCAUGUGAGAUUUUAUCAUUAUAAAUAUGUUUUUUACAAAAAAAUUUGACAUUUAUGUGGUAUUUAGAUAUUUAACCAGGCCAAACUUAUCAUAUUCGAGCUUAAAUAGCUUUUGUCAAUAUGUGAUAGUCGUAGAACUAGAAUAUAUUAAACUUUUGCGAGCUGGUUGAGCUCGAGCCGAAUUUUUUAGUCGAUAUCAAAGUCGAGCCUAACAAUUAUACUCAACUGAGCUCGAUUACACACUUCUGUUUGACUCUAAAGUUGCAGGGGUAAUAAUUAUAUUUUUGGAGGAGCCAGAGUGUUUAUGGUUAUAAUAUAUAUAUGGUCAGCGGAAUGUUUUGUAUUCAAUAUUGAUACAUUUUAUCUCUUUGUUUGAAUAUAUAUUGUGUUUUAAG
rnacentral:lncRNA from 1 species